rnacentral:rRNA from 1 species
UACGGAGGGUGCGAGCGUUGUCCGGAAUCACUGGGCGUAAAGGGCGCGUAGGCGGUUGGGGAAGUCCGUGGUGAAAGCUCGUGGCUCAACUACGAGUCGGCCAUGGAUACUCCUUGACUUGAGCACUGUAGAGGCAGAUGGAAUUCCGGGGUGUAGCGGUGGAAUGCGUAGAGAUCCGGAAGAACACCGGUGGCGAAGGCGGUCUGCUGGGCAGUAGCUGACGCUGAGGCGCGACAGCGUGGGGGAGCAAACAGG